rnacentral:rRNA from 1 species
GACGAACGCUGGCGGCGUGCUUAACACAUGCCAGUCGAACGGAAAGGCCCUGCUUUUGUGGGGUGCUCGAGUGGCGAACGGGUGAGUAACACGUGAGUAACCUGCCCUUCACUUUGGGAUAACUUCAGGAAACUGGAGCUAAUCCAGGAUAGGAGCUCCUGCUGCAUGGUGGGGGUUGGAAAGUUGCGGCGGUUGGGGAUGGACGCGCGGCUUAUCCGCUUGUUGGUGGGGUAGUGGGUGACCAAGGCUUUGACGGGUAGCCGGCCUGAGAGGGUGACCGGCCACAUUGGGACUGAGAUACGGCCCAGACGCCUACGGGAGGCAGCAGUGGGGAAUAUUGCGCAGUGGGCGGACGCCUGAUGCAGCGACGCCGCGUGCGGGAUGACGGCCUUCGGGUUGUAAACCGCGUUCGCCUGUGACGAAGCGUGAGUGACGGUAAUGGGUAAAGAAGCACCGGCUAACUACGUG